GCCUGGGUAGCUCAGUCGGUAGAGCAAGGGAUUGAAAAUCCCUGUGUCGUUGGUUCGAUUCCAAUCCCAGGCACCA
rnacentral:tRNA from 1 species